CUCUUUUGUGCUUCUUCUCUUCAACUUUCAAGUGCUCUCGCAGUUUCAUUGGCUUCAAUAUCGAAUUCCCAAGUGUUGUUUGUUCCAUCCAUCUUCAAACUUCUUAAUUGCCUAUUGUCCAGUUCGGAAUUUCGAUUAGGGAAAGAUUUUGGACUCUUGGCAAGUUUUUUGAUCUCAAGGAAACGAGUCUCGAUUGCGG